rnacentral:tRNA from 1 species
CAGGACGUGGCUGAGUUAGCCAAGCAUCUCACUUACACCGAGAAGACAUUCGUGCAAAUCGGGUCGCCCUGA